AGCAAAUGCACUCUGUGUCACAUUGAACUUAACUACAUGUGAAGACAAUUUGUUAGUUUGCAAUAUUAAAGAGCUGCGUAUUAUCCAUGUAUUUAACGCCGUAUCAGGGUGAUUACAUUGAAAUCGCAUUUUACACUAU
rfam:Drosophila simulans chromosome 2R, whole genome shotgun sequence.